rnacentral:rRNA from 1 species
ACGCUCGACACCUACGGGGAGGCAGCAGGUGGGGAAUAUUGCACAAUGGGCGAAAGCCUGAUGCAGCAACGCCGCGUGAAGGAGGAAGGCCUUGGGUCGUAAACUUCUGUCCUUGAGGAAGAAGAACUGACGGUACUCAAGGAGGAAGCCCGGCUAACUACGUACCAGCAGCCGCGGUAAUCUGAGCGGGCUGGCAAGGC